AUUGAACGCUGGCGGCAGGCCUAACACAUGCAAGUCGAACGAGUGGCGGACGGGUGAGUAAUGUCUGGGAAACUGCCUGAUGGAGGGGGAUAACUACUGGAAACGGUAGCUAAUACCGCAUACCAUCGGAUGUGCCCAGAUGGGAUUAGCUAGUAGGUGGGGUAACGGCUCACCUAGGCGACGAUGCCUAGCUGGUCUGAGAGGAUGACCAGCCACACUGUAACUGGGGCACGGUCCAGACUCCUACGGGGGGCAGCGGUGGAGAAUAUUGCACAAUGGGCGCAAGCCUGAUGCAGCAACGCCGCGUGCGGGAUGACUGCCUUCGGGUUGUAAACCGCUUGCAGCUAUGACGCGGUAGUGGCAGAAGAAGCACCGGCUAACUACGUGCCAGCAGCCGCGGUAAUAC
rnacentral:rRNA from 1 species